AGGCCUCGAACAUCCAGAGUCACAUCAGGACAGCACAGCAGAUCCCACAAAACACAUUACAUCUGUAAAUGUUCUUUACCAGCCCUCGGAUGUUUUGAUCAACAAACAACAGAAACAGGGAAAACCAGAAGAAAAGAAGAAUGUUUAUCACCUGUACAGCACGAUCCCUGAAAACCAGUUCACUCAAAUGCAGACGAUCAAUCCUACAGUUUAGUGAAGAUGUCUUUUUCAUUAUGUACAUGCAAUGAAGUAUCUUUACUUGCAGACAAACAAAUUUUAAUUUUC